AGUUGAGAAACUGUGUGUAUACACUAAAGUUUGGCUUAAGUGCACUGUGAAGACAUGUGCUGGUUACUAUCUAGUUUGUUAUUUUUUCUGUGAUUGGAUGUUUAUUAUUUUAUACCCACCCAUGCAUAUGAGAGUGCAAUGUGUUUGGUUGGUAAUGUGUCAAUCAAAAAAAGAGAGAGAUUGAGACGAGUCGCGUUCGAGAGAGUGGCGGAAGCAGAAACGCUCGUGCAAAACGCUCGUGCUAAAUGCGUGUUAUAUGGAUUUGUUUUCUUUAUAAACAGUGUUUUAGUUUGUUUAUGCUUUAAUGUUAACCAGGAGAUGUGUUAACGGACCGUGAUUUCGUCUUAUUAACUGUCGGUGAGACCCUUUUUUUUUUUUGAGAAGAAACUGCCCGGGUGUGUGGAAUUGGAGUGCCUCUACAUAACGUUACUGGAACGAUAUACUGCAUUCAGCGUAUUACUGUGGUAUUGCGCUAUUUAAUACUUUGAGUUGGACACUUCGGGAGAUCAGUUUGAGUUACAGUAGCAAAAAGCACUCGGUGGCAAAGACGUGCGUUCAUCAAGACUGUUUGUUUUGCCUUGGUUCGCGAGAAACGUACCACUAUUCGCCGAGGAUCGUGUGUGAUGUCUCCGCUUAGAGUGUGAGUGGUCACUGGGAGCACAGGUACCUGUUAUUUCUGUUGGUUUUGGCUCAUUUGAGUGAAGAGGCCGGUGUAAUCGUUUCAAAGGCCACAACGCACGCAAGCAACGACACAGGCCUGCAUCGGGGGGUGGUUGGUUCAGUUACUGAGCCUGACUGUCUGUGGAAGAAGCUGGUACAGAGUUUGGCAGAUGUUCUCAUUUCUUCUUCCAGUCUGGGGAGGUGAUGUUCACAAAACUGUGGCCCUCAAGGACGAGGCACAAAAAAAAUAGAUGUCAACUUUAAAAACAAUCCAUACAAACAGCAGCAACAAAAUACAGGCAACUUUAAAUGGAAUCUAGCAAAGGAGAGAAUUAACCUUCUGGACCACUAUAAUUAACCAUUGAAGGGAAAUUAUGGAUGAUCUUCAAAAACAAAUUGACAUCAUAGACAGAUGACUGAAGAAGUGAGUGUAAACAUGUAAAUAGCGCUAUCUUGUGAGAAAUGCAUGGCUCUGCUCCAGUCAUGUGUAGUGCUUUUUGUACAGUGUGGUUGGGAUCCUCCUGAGUUUUAGUUGUUGAGUUUAUCUCUGUGGAUUUCUACAUAAAAUGUGUCUGGAAAGUCCUGCUUCAUUGUUCUUUGUGAGAAAACACUGUCAGUGAUUAAAGAUUAUAUAGAUUAUUGUUUUUUUUUUAUCACUUAUUUGAAAUCAGAACAUUUAUCUAAAUGUGUGAUACUUUUCUGCAAAUGGCACAUGAUACAGUAAAGGAUUUAAAUGUGCAAAGUAAACACAUCAAAUGUAAUCACAUCUAAACACAUUUACAUGUUUGGUUUUACUUCCAAAGUCUAUUCCAGUUAACAUCAAAGGAAGAAGCAAGAUGUGAGGCAGAAAAAGAAAUGUUCUGUUGUAAAUAUCCCUUUACUUGUGGUAAAUACUUCCAUAGAUAUAUUUUGUCUUUAUUUUAAUGUGUUUUAAGUUCUUUAGUGUUUAAAGUUUUCAUUAAUAUGUAUAUAUGUGCAGUCGCAGGUAUGUGUUCCUUACUAUUUUAGUUAUUCACUUUUAUUCACUGCUCCUUUAAAAUAUGUAAAAUGAAAAUAAUUAUUUUGAUAAACAGAUUUCUUUGGUGUUGUGUGUCUCUGUUUACACAGUUCAUUAUUUAUUAUUCAGAAAUGAGUUACAUGUCUGUCUUUGUGCUUAUAGUGUUGUUUGUUGCAAUUUUUUUCAGAGUUGCACUAAAUGGGAUUCGAAACCUGGUCCAGACAAUCAUUUUCAAGCUUCUACUUAAAGUGUAGGGCUGUGAAUUCUGUGUAUUUGCCUCUACGAGUUUAUUCCAAAUAAAUUACUAAAUUACUGAAUUAUGAACUGAACUAUUUUUAUGGGAUUUUAUGUCUUAAAAAACUUAAGAUAGAUUAAAUGUUAGCUCUCAAAACAAUCAAUCAAUCUUUAUUUAUAAAGCACAUUUAAAAACAGCAGAGGCUGACUAAAGUGAUGUACAUCAAAUAAAAAACACAAUUUAAUCUUUGUAAAAAACAUUAAUAAAAUAAUUAAACAAUCAUAACAUUAAAAAACAACAUGCUAGGAUGACAAUAACUCAACAACAAAAAAUAAAAUAAAAAUAAAAAUCAGGGAUUGUUAAAAGCUAAGGAAAAGAAAUAUGUUUUCAAGGAUGACUUGAAUGUGGAAAUAGAAGGGGCAAGCCGAAUAUAUAAAGGUAGGCUAUUCCAUAAUUUGGGUCCCACAACUGCAAAGGCCCGAUCACCUCGUUUUUAAGGUGAGAUCGUGCUACAACAAGUAAGCAUUGGUCACACGAUCCUGUUUCUUGACGGGGAAUGACGCGAGAGUAGACUGGUCAAAUACUCAGGGGCCAGAUUAUUUAGUGCUUUGUAAACGUAAAGUAAAAUUUUAAAAUCAACUCUAAAUUUGACGGGAAGCCGGUGUAGGGCUGAUAACAUGGGAGUAACUGAUUCAUGAUUGGGCAUCUUAGUGAGAAGUCUAGCUGCUGAAUUUUGAACAAACUGUAAUAGAGAGAGAGAGAGAGGAGUUUGAGAGUUGCAGUAGUCUGGACAUGAUGUAACGACUGUAUGGAUCAAUGUUUGGAAAUCACUUUGGGAUAAAAUGAUUUUACUUUGGAAAGCUGUCGGAGAUGGAAAAAGCUGGAUUUUACGACAGCAUUAAUCUGUUUGUCGAAUUUAAGGUUGUGAUCAAAAAGAACACCCAAGUUCCUAGUGCAGAGGGUUUCACGAGGGUUUUACGUAGGUUCGAAUAGGAUAUUUCAGUUUAAAUAAAAUUAUUAGAGAGCUGAAAUUAUUAGAUGUUAAGUUCCUUCAGGCAAGCCAAAAGUGGGUGUAUGCUGUGUAAGAAAUAAAAAUGUGUUGUGUAAAAAUAAGAUGAUGAUGUUGAAGAUCUUAAUGAAGAACAAGAAGUUUAUUCCAGCAUAGCAGUGACAAAAUACAUGACGUACUUUGGGUUCGUCAGAGUCAGUAAGAACCCCGAGCAAAUCCUGCUCAAGCAUUAUAUACGGUUUUCCCUUUUAGUAAUUUAAAUGAAGUUCCACUUUGAAUGUGUAUUGAGUGUAAGAACUGAUUGUCUCCCAAAUGGCUGGGCUACACCUUGUUGUCUAGCUGAUGUCUUUAAAUGUUAAUCUUGAUCACGUACACCUUGUCUUGGUAUUGUUACAAUUCUUAUCAACCAAAUGGUCACUUUAAAUGGUAAUCGCGGCCAGGUAGACCUUGCAUUAUGACAUAAUGACUAACAUAUUAUAUAAUAACAUAUUAUUAUAUAUUUUAGUAACUCAAAAUCAAAUUCUGGUACAUCUUCCUCAAAGACUAAUUGUCUGCUGGAUUCAAUGACAUUGUCUGUAGAGUGAAUUUAACAUAUGGAAAGUAAUAUUUUCCUAUGAACCAAGCUGUCUCUGGAAUUAUACAAAGUAAAGUAACCUUAAUCGGACCAAGUGUUUAUCAUGUGGUUAUCAUUAACAAAGAUAGAAAAGUGAUCAUGACUAGUGGUGACAUGUUUUCUGUGUGAAACUAUUACUCUUGUAAAAUUAUUGUGGACAUGUUAGAUCGAUUUCACAAGCCUCAUAAUUAGUUUGGGGUGCCCCACAUAAUGGUUGUUUUUCCAAGGCAUCAAUCUUGCAAAUAAAACCAAUGUAGUUUUGUCACAGCGUUCUAUGUCCAGUCCUCACCAUUCUCCUGUUGGUAUCUGUGUGAUAAACCUAAAAGUCCUUUAAGUCCAUUCUUUAAUACAUUCUUCUGUAAUAUUCCCAAAUUGUCCAUGCUUAGAAUCCUUUCUAACAAUUUUUCAAAUCCUUUCCAAUCCUUGAGAUUUUUUACUUGAAGAUGUUCUCUGAAAAGGUUGUAGCGAUUUUGGCUCGCGAAGCAAGGUAAAUAUUUAUAAGCAACUAAAACGUGUUAUAGUGACUUCCAAAUAUUUUAACCUAAGUUGAAAUUAACGGUACUGGAAUUAAC